rnacentral:rRNA from 1 species
AACGUACGCUGGCGGCACGCCUAACACAUGCAAGUCGAACGAAGUAGCAAUACUUAGUGGCAGACGGGUGAGUAACAUGUGGGUAUCUACCCUUUGGCCUGGAAUAACACGAGGAAACUUGUGCUAAUACCGGAUAAGUCUUUACGGAGAAAGCUUUAUGCACCAUUGGAUGAGCCCGCACUUGAUUAGUUUGUUGGUAGGGUAAUGGCCUACCAAGACUAUGAUCAAUAGCUGAUUUGAGAGGAUGAUCAGCCACAUUGGGACUGAGACACGGCCCAAACUCCUACGGGAGGCAGCAGUGGGGAAUCUUGCACAAUGGAGGAAACUCUGAUGCAGCGAUGCCGCGUGAGUGAAGAAGGCCUUUGGGUUGUAAAGCUCUUUCGUCGGGGAAGAAAAUGACUGUACCCGAAUAAGAAGGUCCGGCUAACUUCGUGCCAGCAGCCGCGGUAAUACGAAGGGACCUAGCGUAGUUCGGAAUUACUGGGCUUAAAGAGUUCGUAGGUGGUUGAAAAAGUUGGUGGUGAAAUCCCAGAGCUUAACUCUGGAACUGCCAUCAAAACUUUCCAGCUAGAGUAUGAUAGAGGAAAGCAGAAUUUCUAGUGUAGAGGUGAAAUUCGUAGAUAUUAGAAAGAAUACCAAUUGCGA